rnacentral:lncRNA from 1 species
UCACCGCGCGGCUGCGAAGGCCCAGGAGCGCGUCUCGGCGGGAGCCUCAGGUACGCGGCGGGGGCGGGGGAGCGGGAAGCGGGCGGCUGGGUCCACUUCCCCCGGGAGGCCGGCGGGGCUGCGGGCGGCGAGGCGGUGGUCGCGGGGCAGCCCGGGCAUCGUUCGGCCGGGACGUGUCUGGCUCGGCGCCGCGUCAGGUUGCGCCAGUGGAGUCGGACCCCAGCGCGCCUCUCCCAGCUGCAGAGCUGCGGGGCGGAGAGGCGGCCCACUCUAAGCUGGCGGCGCGGCUCAGGGGCGCGGCUGGGCGCGCCGCGUGUGGCCCGGGGGCGCCGUGUGUGGCGCCGGCGCGCAGCGAGGUCUCACUCCGCCACCCUCCGCUCCUGCCCUUUGUCGCCAAGCAUCUGGAGAAGCCGGGUCCUUCCCUCCCGGGCUCGCGCUGUCCCCUGCGCGCGAUCCUUCCCCGACGGUGAACCCAACGGGAAAGGCCCAGAACUGCGCGGGGCUGCGGCCAUCUGCUCUCGAGCCGCUCCGCGUGUCUCUGCCGCCCCCUGCGGCCGCCGGAGCCUGCGCCUCUCUCCCUCCCGUGCCUCGGCUCCCAGAGAUUGAACCCCAGGUCUGCUGAGAGCCUCUCCUGGGAAUGUUGUAGGCACACCCACUCAACUCUUACCCUUGAUCCCCCUCCCAGGACCAGAAGGGAUUGAUUUCUG